GUCCUGAGCCCUCUCACUUGCUGGCUUCUCGAGUCACGCUCACUCAGUCUCUAUUUCUUGCAUUUCUUCAUCAAACAUCUCUGAUGCGGCUGACCAGGGGCUAAAUGCCAAUAGACCAAGAUGAAGAUUCCCAAGACCCCAGUUGGCUUGUGGCCGGGUGGGGGAGGCAGGUUGAUUUGUCUCGCUACGUAUGAAUUCAUCCAUCCCUCCACCCGUGCAACAGAUGUUUGCUAAGCAUCUACUCUGUGCUACACACGGCUCUGGGUACCCGGCUUCCAUCUACAACAGCAAACAAGGCAGAUGAAUCCCUGCCUUCACGGAACCAACUUUCUGGGAAGGACGAGUGGACAAUUAACAAAUCAAGGAAGGGAGGCUUGGCGGAGUGGAGUGGCUUUCCCAGGGGUGAGUAGAGACCUGAGAUCGGAACCCAGCCUGUAAUCCAAAGGUCUGUGCCGGGGCCUGGGGGUGAGAGAGAGGCGCUCCCACCUCCCAGCACUGGGAGGAUGAGCAGUGGGGCCGAUCAGGAGUCUCUCCCACCAGGACACCCAGAGAUUCUGGAUAAAACAUUGUACGGAGCCUUGUAAGGGGAUGACUAGGCUGGCAGAAUUGAAGGGAAAUACCUCUUCAGGGGCUACUGGCUGGGGGUGGUCUAGUAGCUAGGUUGAGCCUGACUCUUGACCCCGUGGACUGUAG
ensembl:lncRNA